rnacentral:rRNA from 1 species
GACGAACGCUGGCGGCGUGCCUAAUACAUGCAAGUAGAACGCUGAAGCUUGGUGCUUGCACCGAGCGGAUGAGUCGCGAACGGGUGAGUAACGCGUAGGUAACCUGCCUGGUAGCGGGGGAUAACUAUUGGAAACGAUAGCUAAUACCGCAUAAGAGUAGAUGUUGCAUGACAUUUGCUUAAAAGGUGCAAUUGCAUCACUACCAGAUGGACCUGCGUUGUAUUAGCUAGUUGGUGAGGUAACGGCUCACCAAGGCAACGAUACAUAGCCGACCUGAGAGGGUGAUCGGCCACACUGGGACUGAGACACGGCCCAGACUCCUACGGGAGGCAGCAGUAGGGAAUCUUCGGCAAUGGACGGAAGUCUGACCGAGCAACGCCGCGUGAGUGAAGAAGGUUUUCGGAUCGUAAAGCUCUGUUGUAAGAGAAGAACGAGUGUGAGAGUGGAAAGUUCACACUGUGACGGUAUCUUACCAGAAAGGGACGGCUAACUACGUG